UUACAGCUGCCAAUUAAUCAACCUGCUUAAACAAAUAAAUGAACUUGAACUUGAACUUUCUCUGUUUUUUAUAAGCAUAUGUAUCUUCAUUGUCAUACAUUCUUAAAUUAUCAUCUUCUUUCCUUCAACUUCUCUACAAAAGCUUUGCUUUUACAAUUCAGGCCUAAUUAACAUUUUCAUCAGUUACGUUUAUGAGCUCAGGUUUGUAAGUGACCAUGCAGUGUCAAAUAGAUUGAUGCAAUAAAAUCCUCUAAAAUAUUGCUUGCUUUUGUAGGAAGAUUUAUCUAGUCUGUCAGAUGGCAGUGAUGUUAUCAUCAUUGAAAAUUUCCCUCCAAACAUUAAAGAACAGGAUUUAAUUGAUCUAUUUGAUCCCUAUGGUGAUGUUCUAUCUUGUAUGAUUGAUAGAGAUGGCAAAGGAAUAAGCCAAGGAACAUCACUUAUCAGAAUGGAAAGUAGGACUGUUUGUGAAUGGAUAGUGAACACUUUUUCUGGUGAAGUAUACCCA